AUAGUGGACCAAAAGCUAUGGAAUUUUUUUAUUAGCAGUUCUCUAUAACGUCGUGUGUUCAAUUUUCUAUGAUAUAUAUGUAUCUUUGUUCAAUGAUUAUUUUGUAUUUGAUAGACAAUGGUCUUGUUGGGCAUACAAAACUUGUGCAUAGAAGCUAUUUGAGGAUUUGUCAAAGAGACUAAUACUUCAUUGGCUCCAAGGAUUUCCCCUCUUGUUUGUAACAAGAAACCACAAGAAUUCGACAAGUCAGGUGUUUGAAGAUGUUUCCGAGACAACCCAUCAAUCCUGCUGUUGAAAAACUUAUUGUAUACCAUUAGUAUGCAAGUAUAGAACAAUCCAUCUUCUUAGUACCCAAAAGGCAGAAAAAGUAAGUGAAGAAAAAUUUAGAAUUGGUAAUAAAUAAGUCCAAUUAAUUGGUCUGAUUGGUAA